UAGGCAGAGGCCUGUUGGUUCGGGCAUUUAGCUGUUAACUAAAGUUUCAUGGGAUCGAAGCCCAUUUGCCUAG
rnacentral:tRNA from 2 species